GACGAACGCUGGCGGCGUGCUUAACACAUGCAAGUCGAACGGAAAGGCGCUGCUUUUGUGGUGUGCUCGAGUGGCGAACGGGUGAGUAACACGUGAGUAACCUGCCCUUGACUUUGGGAUAAUUUCAGGUAACUGGGGCUACUACCGGAUAGGAGCUCCUGCUGCAUGGUGGGGGUUGGAAAGUUUCGGCGGUUGGGGAUGGACUCGCGGCUUAUCAGCUUGUUGGUGGGGUAGUGGCUUACCAAUGCUUUGACGGAUCGCCGGCCUGAGAGGGUGACCGGCCACAUUGGGACUGCGAGACGGCCCAGACUGCUACGGGAGGCAGCAGUGGGGAAUAUGGCACAAUGGGCGGAAGUCUGAUGCAGCAACGCCGCGUGCGGGAAGACGGUCUUCGGGUUGUAAACCGCUUUCGCCUGUGACGAAGCGUGAGUGACGGUAAUGGGUAAAGAAGCACCGGCUAACUACGUG
rnacentral:rRNA from 1 species